AAUAUUUAAAUCUAUUGUAAUAUUAUGCCGUAUAAUAUACAGGCGAUUUGUAGUAUUUAACCAUGUUAAACCGCUCUUAUAUCAGUCUUAUCUAUCGCUAAAAUCAGUCGGAUGUGAAAACGUAAAUACCCAAGCUGACGAAUUAGCGAACGGUCGACCGGGAAUUACCUAUAUUUCAUAAAAAGCCACAAAAGUGGUAUAAGGGUUGUAAUAUUCGUUCCCACCAAUAACUCGUAUGACUUUUUCAUUUUGUUUUUAGUUUUUUUACUCGUUUUAUUGAAUCUUCGGCGAUAUUCGUAAUAAUACAACGGUUCCUUAACAUUUGUAUAUUCGGCCCGAAUUAUUUGUAUAUUAAAGGGCGCGAUAUUUCGUUGAACUGAUACAAAUAUUGCACGUGAUUUUUAAUAAUACACAUAGUGGAGUGGUAUUAUACAUAUAUAUAUUCAGUGGCGCAAUUGGGAAAUUUUUUUAAGGGAGAGGGGAAUAUCAAAAUAAAUCUUCACGGCAACCUCGUGGGAGGUUAGCCCCAUACAACUCCCACCCCU